rnacentral:rRNA from 1 species
AUUGAACGCUGGCGGCAUGCCUUACACAUGCAAGUCGAACGGUAACAGGUUAAGCUGACGAGUGGCGAACGGGUGAGUAAUGUAUCGGAACGUGCCCAGUCGUGGGGGAUAACUGCUCGAAAGAGCAGCUAAUACCGCAUACGACCUGAGGGUGAAAGCGGGGGAUCGCAAGACCUCGCGCGAUUGGAGCGGCCGAUAUCAGAUUAGGUAGUUGGUGAGGUAAAGGCUCACCAAGCCGACGAUCUGUAGCUGGGCUGAGAGGACGACCAGCCAAAAUGGGACUGAGACACGGCACAGACUCCUACGGGAGGCAGCAGUGGGGAAUUUUGGACAAUGGGCGAAAGCCUGAUCCAGCCAUGCCGCGUGCGGGAAGAAGGCCUUCGGGUUGUAAACCGCUUUUGUCAGGGAAGAAAAGGUUCUGGCUAGUACCUGGGACUCAUGACGGUACCUGAAGAAUAAGCACCGGCUAACUACGUGCCAGCCGCCGCCGUAACAC